rnacentral:rRNA from 1 species
GAUCCUGGCUCAGGAUGAACGCUAGCUACAGGCUUAACACAUGCAAGUCGAGGGGCAGUAUGGUCUUAGCUUGCUGAGGCCGAUGGCGACCGGCGCACGGGUGAGUAACACGUAUCCAACCUGUCGUCUACUCUUGGACAGCCUUCUGAAAGGAAGAUUAAUACAAGAUGGCAUCAUGAGUCCGCAUGUUCACAUGAUUAAAGGUAUUCCGGUAGACGAUGGGGA